UACGUAGGGACCAAGCGUUGUCCGGAUUCAUUGGGCGUAAAGAGCUCGUAGGCGGCUCAGUAAGUCGGGUGUGAAACCUCCAGGCUCAACCUGGAGACGCCACCCGAUACUGCUGUGGCUAGAGUCCAGUAGGGGAGCGUGGAAUUCCUGGUGUAGCGGUGAAAUGCGCAGAUAUCAGGAGGAACACCAGCGGCGAAGGCGGCGCUCUGGGCUGGAACUGACGCUGAGGAGCGAAGGCGUGGGGAGCGAACAGG
rnacentral:rRNA from 1 species